CAAUAGCGUAUAUUUAAGUUGUUGCAGUUAAAAAGCUCGUAGUUGGAUUUCGGGUGGGUACCGCCGGUCUCCCAUUGGGUAUGUACUGGCGUGGCCCGCCUUGCUGUCGGGGACGGUCUCCUGGGCUUAAUUGCUCGGGAAUCGGAGUCGACGAUGUUACUUUGAGUAAAUUAGAGUGUUCAAAGCAAGCCUACGCUCUGAAUAUGAUAGCAUGGGAUAACACGACAGGACUCUGGCCUAUCGUGUUGGUCUGUAGGACCGGAGUAAUGAUUAAGAGGGACAGUCGGGGGCAUUCGUAUUCCAUUGUCAGAGGUGAAAUUCUUGGAUUUAUGGAAGACGAACAUCUGCGAAANCANNNGCCAAGGAUGUUUUCAUNGA
rnacentral:rRNA from 1 species